rnacentral:rRNA from 1 species
AUUGAACGCUGGCGGCAUGCCUUACACAUGCAAGUCGAACGGUAACAGGUCUUCGGAUGCUGACGAGUGGCGAACGGGUGAGUAAUACAUCGGAACGUGCCUAGUAGUGGGGGAUAACUACUCGAAAGAGUGGCUAAUACCGCAUGAGAUCUACGGAUGAAAGCAGGGGAUCGCAAGACCUUGUGCUACUAGAGCGGCCGAUGGCAGAUUAGGUAGUUGGUGGGAUAAAAGCUUACCAAGCCGACCAUCUGUAGCUGGUCUGAGAGGACGAUCAGCCACACUGGGACUGAGACACGGCCCAGACUCCUACGGGAGGCAGCAGUGGGGAAUUUUGGACAAUGGACGCAAGUCUGAUCCAGCCAUGCCGCGUGCGGGAAGAAGGCCUUCGGGUUGUAAACUGCUUUUGUACGGAACGAAAAGACUCCUUCUAAUAAAGGGGGUCCAUGACGGUACCGUAAGAAUAAGCACCGGCUAACUACGUGCCAGCAGCCGCGGUAAAAC